GACGAACGCUGGCGGCGUGCUUAACACAUGCAAGUCGAACGAAGUGGCGAACGGGUGAGUAACGCGUAAUCAACCUGCACUUCAGGGGGGGACAACAGUUGGAAACGACUGCUAAUACCGCAUACUGAAGGAGGGGAUUGCGUCUGAUUAGCUAGUGGGAGGGGUAACGGCCCACCAAGGCGAUGAUCAGUAGCGGGUCUGAGAGGGUGAACGGCGACAUUGGGACUGAGACACGGCCCAGACUCCUACGGGAGGCAGCAGUGGGGAAUCUUCCGCAAUGGACGAAAGUCUGACGGAGCAACGCCGCGGUAAUAC
rnacentral:rRNA from 1 species